AACGCUGGCGGCAGGCCUAACACAUGCAAGUCGAACGGUAACAUUUCUAGCUUGCUAGAAGAUGACGAGUGGCGGACGGGUGAGUAAUGCUUGGGAACUUGCCUUUGCGAGGGGGAUAACAGUUGGAAACGACUGCUAAUACCGCAUAAUGUCUACGGACCAAAGGGGGGACUUGUUCCUCCCGCGUGAAGAGAGGCCCAAGUGAGAUUAGCUAGUUGGUGGGGUAAAGGCUCACCAAGGCGACGAUCUCUAGCUGUUCUGAGAGGAAGAUCAGCCACACUGGAACUGAGACACGGUCCAGACUC
rnacentral:rRNA from 1 species